ensembl:antisense Kcnd3os potassium voltage-gated channel, Shal-related family, member 3, opposite strand
GUUUCCCAUUCACUGUCCACGCGGUAGAGCAACUAACUCCUCUCCUUGGUCACCUAGUGAGGUGCAGCUGGUCGCCGCGCAAGCUUACAGGCUGACCCUGAACAGUCAGGUGUGUUUGCCAAAGCUGGGAAGAUCCCACGGAAGACAAACUGCCUUUAUCUCCGCGUAAGAGCCACUGUCGUUCAGGAGUGACCUCUGACACAUGGCCAGAAGGUCAGGAUUCGCUCCAAUACCCCACCACGAAUACCCAGAAUUAAGACUGGGGAUUUAGGAACUCUCAUUUCUCUAUCUUUCCAAAGCGGGCCCAGGCCCUGGAUCCUUUCCAGAGCCCAGAGUUAUCUAUUGCUUAGUACUCGGACCCAGCGUGAGGAGUGGGACAACCACGGGAGCAUAGGAUCCAGCUGAGAGUCCCAGGACCAUCGCGGCAGCAGAGUAGAGCCCAGUCCUGGCUGCUAAGCCAAACCGUGGCCGGCUUUCCCUGUGUCUCCGGCCUGGGUGCUGGGACUCCCGAGCCUGGAGAUCGCGAAGCAAGCAGCUUCGUGCCUCUGCCCGGACCGGAACGCCUUGGCUUGAGAGAUGGCAGCUCUGAGUAUGGAAAGGAACCUAAGCAGAUCCAGGCAGUGACUCCAGUUCCUGAGACACCACAAUAAAUUGCCACCAAGGCUCUUCUAUGACUCCUAACUAAUAAAUCAAAUCUAUUGAACAAUACAUUUACUGC